rnacentral:rRNA from 1 species
UUAAGCGACUAAGCGUACACGGUGGAUGCCCUGGCAGUCAGAGGCGAUGAAGGACGUGCUAAUCUGCGAAAAGCGUCGGUAAGGUGAUAUGAACCGUUAUAACCGGCGAUGUCCGAAUGGGGAAACCCAGUGCAAUUCGUUGCACUAUCGUUAACUGAAUACAUAGGUUAACGAGGCGAACCGGGGGAACUGAAACAUCUAAGUACCCCGAGGAAAAGAAAUCAACCGAGAUUCCCCCAGUAGCGGCGAGCGAACGGGGAGCAGCCCAGAGUCUGAAUCAGCUUGUGUGUUAGUGGAACGGUCUGGAAAGUCCGACGGUACAGGGUGAUAGUCCCGUACACCAAAAUGCACAGGCUGUGAACUCGAAGAGUAGGGCGGGACACGUGGUAUCCUGUCUGAAUAUGGGGGGACCAUCCUCCAAGGCUAAAUACUCCUGACUGACCGAUAGUGAACCAGUACCGUGAGGGAAAGGCGAAAAGAACCCCGGCGAGGGGAGUGAAAAAGAACCUGAAACCGUGUACGUACAAGCAGUGGGAGCACCUUCGGGUGUGACUGCGUACCUUUUGUAUAAUGGGUCAGCGACUUAUAUUCUGUAGCAAGGUUAACCGUAUAGGGGAGCCGCAGGGAAACCGAGUCUUAACUGGGCGUUAAGUUGCAGGGUAUAGACCCGAAACCCGGUGAUCUAGCCAUGGGCAGGUUGAAGGUUGGGUAACACUAACUGGAGGACCGAACCGACUAAUGUUGAAAAAUUAGCGGAUGACUUGUGGCUGGGGGUGAAAGGCCAAUCAAACCGGGAGAUAGCUGGUUCUCCCCGAAAGCUAUUUAGGUAGCGCCUCGUGAACUCAUCUUCGGGGGUAGAGCACUGUUUCGGCUAGGGGGUCAUCCCGACUUACCAACCCGAUGCAAACUACGAAUACCGAAGAAUGUUAUCACGGGAGACACACGGCGGGUGCUAACGUCCGUCGUGAAGAGGGAAACAACCCAGACCGCCAGCUAAGGUCCCAAAGUCAUGGUUAAGUGGGAAACGAUGUGGGAAGGCACAGACAGCCAGGAUGUUGGCUUAGAAGCAGCCAUCAUUUAAAGAAAGCGUAAUAGCUCACUGGUCGAGUCGGCCUGCGCGGAAGAUGUAACGGGGCUAAACCAUGCACCGAAGCUGCGGCAGCGACACUAUGUGUUGUUGGGUAGGGGAGCGUUCUGUAAGCCUGCGAAGGUGGCCUGUGAGGGCUGCUGGAGGUAUCAGAAGUGCGAAUGCUGACAUAAGUAACGAUAAAGCGGGUGAAAAGCCCGCUCGCCGGAAGACCAAGGGUUCCUGUCCAACGUUAAUCGGGGCAGGGUGAGUCGACCCCUAAGGCGAGGCCGAAAGGCGUAGUCGAUGGGAAACAGGUUAAUAUUCCUGUACUUGGUGUUACUGCGAAGGGGGGACGGAGAAGGCUAUGUUAGCCGGGCGACGGUUGUCCCGGUUUAAGCAUGUAGGCGGAGGUUCCAGGUAAAUCCGGUACCUUUUAACGCUGAGGUGUGAUGACGAGGCACUACGGUGCUGAAGUAACAAAUGCCCUGCUUCCAGGAAAAGCCUCUAAGCAUCAGGUAACAUUAAAUCGUACCCCAAACCGACACAGGUGGUCAGGUAGAGAAUACCAAGGCGCUUGAGAGAACUCGGGUGAAGGAACUAGGCAAAAUGGUGCCGUAACUUCGGGAGAAGGCACGCUGGUGUGUAGGUGAAGUCCCUGCGGAUGGAGCUGAGACCAGUCGAAGAUACCAGCUGGCUGCAACUGUUUAUUAAAAACACAGCACUGUGCAAACACGAAAGUGGACGUAUACGGUGUGACGCCUGCCCGGUGCCGGAAGGUUAAUUGAUGGGGUUAUCCGUAAGGAGAAGCUCUUGAUCGAAGCCCCGGUAAACGGCGGCCGUAACUAUAACGGUCCUAAGGUAGCGAAAUUCCUUGUCGGGUAAGUUCCGACCUGCACGAAUGGCGUAAUGAUGGCCAGGCUGUCUCCACCCGAGACUCAGUGAAAUUGAACUCGCUGUGAAGAUGCAGUGUACCCGCGGCAAGACGGAAAGACCCCGUGAACCUUUACUAUAGCUUGACACUGAACAUUGAGCCUUGAUGUGUAGGAUAGGUGGGAGGCUUUGAAGCGUGGACGCCAGUCUGCGUGGAGCCAACCUUGAAAUACCACCCUUUAAUGUUUGAUGUUCUAACGUUGGCCCCUAAUCGGGGUUGCGGACAGUGUCUGGUGGGUAGUUUGACUGGGGCGGUCUCCUCCCAAAGAGUAACGGAGGAGCACGAAGGUUAGCUAAUCCUGGUCGGACAUCAGGAGGUUAGUGCAAUGGCAUAAGCUAGCUUGACUGCGAGCGUGACGGCGCGAGCAGGUGCGAAAGCAGGUCAUAGUGAUCCGGUGGUUCUGAAUGGAAGGGCCAUCGCUCAACGGAUAAAAGGUACUCCGGGGAUAACAGGCUGAUACCGCCCAAGAGUUCAUAUCGACGGCGGUGUUUGGCACCUCGAUGUCGGCUCAUCACAUCCUGGGGCUGAAGUAGGUCCCAAGGGUAUGGCUGUUCGCCAUUUAAAGUGGUACGCGAGCUGGGUUUAGAACGUCGUGAGACAGUUCGGUCCCUAUCUGCCGUGGGCGCUGGAGAAUUGAGGGGGGCUGCUCCUAGUACGAGAGGACCGGAGUGGACGCAUCACUGGUGUUCGGGUUGUCAUGCCAAUGGCACUGCCCGGUAGCUAAAUGCGGAAGAGAUAAGUGCUGAAAGCAUCUAAGCACGAAACUUGCCCCGAGAUGAGUUCUCCCUGAGACUUUAAGUCUCCUGAAGGAACGUUGAAGACGACGACGUUGAUAGGCCGGGUGUGUAAGCGCAGCGAUGCGUUGAGCUAACCGGUACUAAUGAACCGUGAGGCUUAACCU